AGAAAAGUAAGCUAAGUUUAAGCUAAUGGGUUCAUAUCCCAAAUAUAGAGUCUAAUCUCUCUUUUCUA
rnacentral:tRNA from 1 species